GAUGGAGAUAAGCUAGCCUAAGAACUGUCACACUCUGGUGGUGAAGCAGGGAUUUGGGAACAGACCCACCUCGCACGCACUAAGAGAAGGUCCGGUGCUGGAGCAGGUGGGUUGAGCAGAUGAAACCGGACACAAAGGAAUAUACAGGAUGGUUUUAUCUACACAAAGUUUACAGACAAGCAAAACUAAUCUUUGGUGAUGGAUAUCCGGACAGAGGUUACUUCUAGUGGGAAGAGCCUGGAGAAGAUGGAGAGGGGUUCCGGGAACUUGAAACACUUUCUCUUUUGGUUUGGAUUGUGUUUUAAAAAGGACACAUUACUUCAAAGACCAUUGAGAUUUGUGCACUGAACUAUUCUGUUUGUAUCUCAUACUUCAGGGAACAUUUACAUGAAAGAUUUACAUGAAACAUUUAAACAAAACCAAAAAUAACAAAAGAAGGAAACAAACGAAA